rnacentral:rRNA from 1 species
GACGAACGCUGGCGGCGUGCCUAAUACAUGCAAGUUGAGCGCUGAAGGUUGGUACUUGUACCGACUGGAUGAGCAGCGAACGGGUGAGUAACGCGUGGGGAAUCUGCCUUUGAGCGGGGGACAACAUUUGGAAACGAAUGCUAAUACCGCAUAAAAACUUUAAACACAAGUUUUAAGUUUGAAAGAUGCAAUUGCAUCACUCAAAGAUGAUCCCGCGUUGUAUUAGCUAGUUGGUGAGGUAAAGGCUCACCAAGGCGAGGAUACAUAGCCGACCUGAGAGGGUGAUCGGCCACAUUGGGACUGAGACACGGCCCAAACUCCUACGGGAGGCAGCAGUAGGGAAUCUUCGGCAAUGGACGAAAGUCUGACCGAGCAACGCCGCGUGAGUGAAGAAGGUUUUCGGAUCGUAAAACUCUGUUGGUAGAGAAGAACGUUGGUGAGAGUGGAAAGCUCAUCAAGUGACGGUAACUACCCAGAAAGGGACGGCUAACUACGUG